rnacentral:rRNA from 1 species
ACCUGUACCCAUUCCGAACACAGAAGUUAAGCUCUCCAGCGCCGAUGGUAGUUGGGGUUCUUCCCCUGCGAGAGUAGGACGCUGCUGGGC